rnacentral:rRNA from 1 species
GGGCACUGAGACACGGGCCCGACUCCUACGGGAGGCAGCAGUAAGGAAUAUUGGUCAAUGGACGCAAGUCUGAACCAGCCAUGCCGCGUGGAGGAUUAAGGCCCUCUGGGUUGUAAACUCCUUUUAUCUGGGAAGAAAUCCACAUAUUCUUAUGUGGUUGACGGUACCAGAGGAAUAAGCACCGGCUAGCUCCGUGCCAGCA